rnacentral:lncRNA from 1 species
GUAGCUCACUUCUAGAGUGCUCUUAGAAAUUAGGACACAGAGGGAGAAACCUACAAAUCACCAAAAAUNGUGAUAGAAAAGAGCUCUUAGAGCUAGAAUGCAGAGAGAUUGAAAAGGAAUUUUCGUAAUGUACUUAAAAUCAGAAAUCUUGUAAACCCUAAAUCAAGAACAGUGGAAACAGGGGAAAANUUUGCUCACCCAGUGAAAUUGAGAAACGUUCGGUUCAGUUGGAAGCCCUUCCUUUCAGGAGNAGUUUGGUGGCCUCAAAUCAAGUUUUAAACGGUGGAAUCUACUGGAAUUUUAGAGAGAAGUGAGUGCUUGAGUUAGGGCAAGGUUUAUGUUCUUGAGAGAGAAGAGAAAAUGGAGAAAUGAAUUUCUGAAGCUAAGGGAAGGGACCCCUCUCUUGGCCAUGUGCCCAAUACGAAUGGGCCUGGG